ACUAAACCAUAAAACUCGAAAUCAUCACUCUCUAUGCCUCGCCACUCUUCCUCACACAAACAACUCUCUCAGUGCCUUAUUCUCUAUGAGAAGUGAUAACCACGCCAUCUUAAUCGCGUUUUGAAUCCUUUUCUUGGACAAACUUGUGUUGAUUUCGAUUAAAAUCUCAAUUGCGCUCUAGUAAUCAGGUUGAACUCGUCAUUCAGUGAUUUAGAAUCAAAAUUUUGAGGGUUUUCUUUGCUCAAUAAUUCAGCAAUGCGUUAUCGGUUUUAAAUUCUGUCGUGGAAUCCGCCAUCAGUGUUGAACACAUCGAGCUUAUAAAGGCCUGGCACAUCUUGUAAUGUAAUUAUAAAAAUGUUCAUAUCAAUAACCAUGGAGAUAGAAACAGAAGGAAGUGGUGAUGAAAUGAAGAAUUCAUCAUGUUCCGCACUUGAUUUAUAUAGGUUAUUGAAGAGAUUCAUCUAAGAGGUAUGAAUAUGGUAGCUUAUAGAUUGGAGUCUUGGCUACCAUACCGUCAUCCUAUAAAAUUUUUAUUACAAUAGGUAUGUGUGUGCUUUUUAUUUGGUUUUAUAUGAGCUUAGUUAUAGAUAAAGCAAGUGUUUUAUGUGACUGUGACAAAUUUUGGUAACUCACAUAAUUUGAAAUGGGAUAUCUUGCAUGGUAUGAGGUGCUGGUUUGUAAACACUAAAAAUCUUGCAAGUGUGCUGGCUUUUGCCUAACUCUAGUUGAUCUUCUCAGGCAUGUGUUAAAUGUAUGGUGAGAUGUUGAUUUUCUAAUGAUGCAUGUGGGUAUGCAAUAAUUCAUAAAGUGAUUCUUGGACCAACUGUCAGUGUGGAAUUAUGAUUCUGAUGAGAAUGUUGAGAGUGGUAGUAAGGCUGUGGUGGUGGAGGAGAAUGGGAAUCAUAGUGGCGGAGGGAAUGGGAAUUUGAGCUUGAGUGGCGGUGUCAAUGGUGGAGAUCAGAAAGGGAAGAAGAAAGGGAUGCCGGUGAAGAAUCUCAUGGCCGAGAGGUGGCACAGGAAGAAGCUUAAUGAUAGGUUGUACAUGCUUAGGUCUGUUGUGCCAAAGAUUAGCAAGAUGGAUAGGGCUUCGAUACUUGGGGAUGCAAUCGACUACUUGAGGGAGUUACUACAGUGGAUUAAUGAUCUUUACAAUGAACUGGAGUCAACUCCACCUGGCCCUUCGCUGCAAUCUUCCACCACCAGCCUUCAACCUUUGACACCCACGCCGCAAACCCUUCCAUGCCGGGUGAAGGAAGAACUGUAUCCUGGUGUCUUGCCAAGCCCCAAAAAUCAACUUGCAAAGGAGUUAAGGUUGUGACAUCCUUUUCUUCAAAUUCGAGCUUGCUCACAAGCUGAUAUCGUCCCUCAAGCUUCACUUGGUUCAAUAAUAAUGGUUUAUUUGGCUGCAGGGAGUGCAAUGAAUAAGGGUCAGGCAGAGAGAAGAGAUUGCUAAAGUUUUCCUGAGCAUUAAAGAAUUGUACUGACAAAAAUAUUUAAAAGAGUUGCUAGCAAUUUUAGUUGCCUUAGGAGAACUGUCCUAGAUGAGAAGCUUAAAUGCAAGGAAUACUCUACUGCAGCAUUGAUUGGGACCUUGCUUUACCAAAAUUUUCAGGAUGGGCUUAUUGACUUCCUGAAGACGAUCCAUCUAUUGAUUUCUUUGAAGGUUACACAGAAGUGGCAACUUCUUAGGAACAUUGAGAGUUUGUAUGCUUGUGGAGGUGUGAAUUUGUAGUAUUAUAUCUAUAUAUAUAAUUAUGUUAUGCAUCUCAUUUUAAGUGUGAAAUUUAUCAGGAAAAAAUUUUCUUUAAUGUAAUUAUUGAGAUUUGUCAUUGGAAUACUUUGUGGCUAGUUUGUUCGAGCAAAAUUGUAUUUUAAGAGUUGAUAUUGAACAAAAUUUAUA